rfam:Gossypium arboreum cultivar AKA8401 contig_47112_1, whole genome shotgun sequence.
AAUCCGUGGUGUGGGCACUUCUGAAUUAGCAUCUUAAAACACUCCUAUGCUUCGUGAAAGCUUUCCCCUUCUAACUGUUUUAACAUCAAAAUUUCCCUUCUUAGUUA